ACUGAACGCUGGCGGCAUGCCUUACACAUGCAAGUCGAACGGCAGCACGGGAGCAAUCCUGGUGGCGAGUGGCGAACGGGUGAGUAAAGCAUCGGAACGUGCCCAGUCGUGGGGGAUAACGUAGCGAAAGCUACGCUAAUACCGCAUACGAUCUGUGGAUGAAAGCGGGGGACCGUAAGGCCUCGCGCGAUUGGAGCGGCCGAUGUCAGAUUAGGUAGUUGGUGAGGUAAAGGCUCACCAAGCCGACGAUCUGUAGCUGGACUGAGAGGACGACCAGCCACACUGGGACUGAGACACGGCCCAGGCUCCUACGGGAGGCAGCAGUGGGGAAUUUUGGACAAUGGGCGCAAGCCUGAUCCAGCAAUGCCGCGUGCAGGAUGAAGGCCUUCGGGUUGUAAACUGCUUUUGUACGGAGCGAAACGGCUUCCACUAAUACUGGGGGCUAAUGACGGUACCGUAAGAAUAAGCACCGGCUAACUACGUGCCAGCCGCCGCGGUAA
rnacentral:rRNA from 1 species